rnacentral:miRNA from 1 species
GGUCCUGGUCCUGGUCCCGGUCCCGGUCCGGUCCUGGUCCUGGUCCUGGUUCUGGUCCUGGUCCUGGUCCGGC